CCCCAUGUCGGGCUCUGUGCUGACAGCUCAGAGCCUGGAGCCUGCUUCGGAUUCUGUGUCUCCUCCUCUCUCUGCCCCUCCCCUGCUCAUGCUCUGUCUCUCUGUCUCUCAAUAAUAAAUAAACGUUAAAACAAAAAAAUUUAGAAAGAAACUGCCAAACUGUUUUCCAAAGUGCCUGUACUGUUGUGCAUUUCCACCAGCAAUGAAUGAGAAUUCCUACUGCUCCAAACCACCAUUUGGUGUUAUCAGUGUUCUGAAUUCAUACCAUUGUUGUAGGUGUGCAGUGGUAUUUCAUUGUCGUUUUUAAUUUGCAUUUUACUCUGAUGACUAUUAUGUGGAGCACGCUUUCAAAAGCUUUUUUUUUUUUUUUUGCAUCUGUAUAUCUUCCUUGGUGAGGUGGCUGUUGAGAUCGUUGGUGUAUUUUUAGCUGAUGGAAUGGGAAAAGAUAUUUGCAAAUGACAUAUCAGAUAAAGGAUUAGUAUCUAAAACCUAGGAAGAACUUACCAAACUCAACACCCAGAGAACAAAUCACCCGGUGAAGAAAUGGGCAGAAGACGUGAAUAGACACUUUUCCAAAGAAGACAUCCAGAUGGCUUACAGACACAUGCAAAGAUGCUCAACAUCACUCAUCAUCAGGGAAAUACAAACCCAAUACAUCCAAAGGACACAAAAAUGAUGAUUUGAAGGGGCACAUGCCACCCAUGUUCAUAGCAGUGCUAUCCACAAUAGGCAAAUUAUGGAAAGAGCCCAAAUGUCCAUUGAAUGAUGAAUGAAUAAAGACGUGGUGUAUAUAUAGAAUGGAAUACUACUCGACGAUCAAAAAAAAAAAAAAUGAAAUCUCGACAUUUGCAACAACAUGGAUGGAACUAGAAUGCAUUUUGCUAAGCAAAAUAAGUCAGUGAGAAAAGACACACAACAUGAUUUCACUCAUACGUGGAAAUUAAGAAACACAGCAGAUGAACAUAGAGAAAGAGGAGGAAACAUGAGAUGAAAACAGAGAGGGAGGCAAACCAUAAGAGACUCUUAAAUACAGAGAACAAACUGAGGGUUGCUGGAGGGGAGGUGGGUUGGGGGAUGGGUUAAAUGUGUAAUGGGCAUUAAGGAAGGCACUUUUAGGGAUGAGCCCUGGGUGUCAUAUGUAAGAGAUGAAUCACUGGGUUCUACUCCUGAAGCCAAGACCACACUGUAUGUCAACUAACUUGAUUUAAAUAACAAUAAGAAGAAGAACUUUGAACUACUUUUAUUUAUUUAAAUACAUUUUUUAAUGUUUAUUUAUUUUUGAGAAAGAGAGACAAAGCAUGAGCAGGGGAAGAACGGAGACAGAGGGAGACACAGAAUCUGAAGCAAACUCUAGGCUCUGAGCUGACAGCACAGAGCCGGAUGCGGGGCUCGAACCCACGAACCGUGAGAUCAUGACCUGAGCUGAAGUCAGCCACUUAACCAACUGAGCCAACCAGGCAUCCUUUGGCCUACUUUUAAAUUGGAUUGUUUAUUUUCCUACUGGUAUUAAUAUCAAGAGCUAUCUGUAAUACAGUUCCUGUGUGUUUCUCUGGCUCAGCGUCGGCUUCCUGGGAACUUGGACCAUGACAGUUGGUGCCAAGAGUGGUUUCCGAAAUCAGUUGCUAAGAUGAGAUUUUGGAGCUGGAUCACUUGCUGCUCGUUUGGCAAUGAGGACCUCCACCAACCACAGGAUAGCAUCUGGCAUGAGAUAGCAGUGCACCUGCUAAUAUGUACACCAGAGUUAGCAGAACUGCCUUCCAUAUUCCUGGAAUCAUGAGAUCUUGGAAGAACAUACUCAACUGAAAGAAAAAAAAAUAAAGAAGACUUUCUCAUCUACUUGCUUCCCAGAUUUUUGAAACGGAUCCAAUGCAUAAUCUUUGGUGGUAGUGGUUGUUAAAAUGGCUGGUGGACGCAAAGAAGGAUGACGGGAAAUUUUGGAGUCAAAACUCUGGAAUUCUCUGUGUUUUCUGGUGGCAGACGUUUCAUGUACUAGUCAGUUCACUUAAAAUUUGCAUCAAAGACUAUAACCUGACAAUAUGAGAAUUAUACUUUUUUUUCCCAUUUUGCUUUGCAUUUUAAGGCCAUCCCAAGCCCAAUGGCAUUUUCCUGUUACAUUUUGCUGGUGGUGUCACCAUAAGAUAUAUUAAAACGAAUGAGAUGUAGCUUGCCUGAACCUCUAGGCUUGUCAGCUAAGGAAACAAUAUUUUUGAGUGAUUAAAUGAAAUAAACUAAAGAACAAGCAACUAAUACCUACAUUUCUCUAAAUUCCCAAGGCCAAAAGAAACACCUGGACCCUGGAUUUUAAAAGAUAAAAUUUUGGGGGCACCUGGGUGGCUCAGUCGGUUGGGUGUAGGACUCUUGAUUUUGGCUCAGGUCAUGAUCCCAGGAUUGUGGAAUUGAGCCCCGUGUCAGGCUUAGCCCUGAGCAUAUAGCCUACUUGAGAUUUUCUCUCUCCCUCUGUCCCUCUCCCCUGUUUCAAAUUAAAAAACAAUUUAAAAAAAGAUAAAAUCUUUUGUUCAUCAACAUUUUGUUUUGCUAUGUGCCUCUAAGAAGGCAGGCCUUGUAUUUAGAUUUCACUUUAUUGUGGGAGAAACUAUGGGAUCAAAAAUUCUGGGUUCAAGGGGAGCCUGGAUGGCUCAGUCGGUUAAGCGUCUGAUUUUGGUUCAGG